rnacentral:ncRNA from 1 species
UUUUGGGAGGUACAGACGUUAAAGAAUACCAACAAAACUACUUACGAGAGGCAACCUCGUACAAAAGCGUA